AUUGAACGCUGGCGGCAGGCCUAACACAUGCAAGUCGAACGGUAGCACAGGAGAGCUUGCUCUCUGGGUGACGAGUGGCGGACGGGUGAGUAAGGCAUGGGGAGCUGCCCAAUCGAGGGGGAUACCAGCUGGAAACGGCUGCUAAUACCGCAUACGCCCUGAGGGGGAAAGGUGGGGACCUUCGGGCCUACCGCGAUUGGAUGCACCCAUGUGGGAUUAGCUAGUUGGUGAGGUAACGGCUCACCAAGGCGACGAUCUCUAGCUGGUCUGAGAGGAUGACCGGCCAACCUGGAACUGAGACACGGUCCAGACGCCUACGGGAGGCAGCAGUGGGGAAUAUUGCACAAUGGGGGAAACCCUGAGACAGCCAUGCCGCGUGUGUGAAGAAGGCCUUCGGGUUGUAAAGCACUUUCAGUAGGGAGAAAGGGUUGAUGUCUAAUACGCAUGAGCAUUGACGUUACCUACAGAAGAAGCACCGGCUAAGUCCGUGCCAGCCGCCGCCGUAA
rnacentral:rRNA from 1 species